CUAAGACCUGGCGUAAAUCAAUUAAAAAAAAAAAAAAAGAGUAGCUAUUACUUUGUGAAGUUUUAGUUUCCAUUCUUUGGGUAUAUAUAUGUGUGUGUGUGUGUGUGUGUGUGUGUGUGUGUACAAGGCUGUAAUAUAAAAGAUAUUUCUUACAGUUUAUGACCUCCCUCUCUAAAAAAAAGAAGAGAGAAAAAGAAACUACUACCCUACAGGAUGUUAAAGAUCUUCACCCAUCCCAGGAGUCUGAAAUGGCAGAGAAAGCUGUGUGACCUGGGGCAAGUUGCUUAACUUCUCUGUGCCUCGUUUUCCACACUGGUAAGAUGGAGGUGAAUGCAGCCACAGAGUGAGUGACCACCGGCAAGAACAGAAGAAGAAACUUCCAACUGAGCGCAGAUCGGAUUGAAGAGCUGUGAGCAAACAAAAUGAUUGCUGUUUGAAGCCAGUAAGUUUGGGGUGGUUUGUUAAUGUAGAAACAGACAUAAAAAAGAAACACUGCUCAGUAAAUAGUUGCUGAACUAAUGUGUGAAAGUGCUAUAGGAACAUGGAGCUGGAACAUAGCGCUCCUUCAUCAAAAGAGGGAAAACAGGAGCUGGAGAGAAAGAAGGAAUGUACUAUCCAGCUGAUGAAGAGGGUGGCUAAGCAGGGAAUUUUGACCAGAAGCCAAUGAUGCUGUACUCAUGCCCAGACAGCAAACGUUUGCAAUGCCCAGCCAAGAACAGAACAUUUACAGGUACUCACUCUCUUUUAAAAAUUGUAUUUUAUUGAUUAUAGUAAAUUUACAAUAUUGUGUUAGUUUCAGGUAUA